AGUGGCGACCGGGUGAGUAACACGUGACUAACCUACCUUCGAGUGGGGGAUAACCUAGGGAAACCUGGGCUAAUACCGCAUAACAUCUUUGGAUCGGAAGAACUGAAGAUCAAAGGAGCAAUUCGCUUGAAGAGGGGGUCGCGGCUGAUUAGCUAGUUGGCGAGGUAAUGGCCCACCAAGGCUUUGAUCGGUAGCCGGCCUGAGAGGGCGCACGGCCACACUGGAACUGAAACACGGUCCAGACUCCUACGGGAGGCAGCAGUGGGGAAUUUUGCGCAAUGGGGGAAACCCUGACGCAGCAACGCCGCGUGGAGGAUGAAGUCCCUUGGGACGUAAACUCCUUUCGACCGGGACGAUUAUGACGGUACCGGUGGAAGAAGCCCCGGCUAACUUCGUGCCAGCAGCCGCGGUAAUACGAGGGGGGCAAGCGUUGUUCGGAAUUAUUGGGCGUAAAGGGCGCGUAGGCGGUGCGGUAAGUCACCUGUGAAAUCUCCGGGCUUAACUCGGAGUCUGCAGGCGA
rnacentral:rRNA from 1 species